rnacentral:rRNA from 1 species
UAAUAACGGCGAGUGAAGCGGGAAGAGCUCAAAUUUGUAAUCUGGCACUUUCAGUGUCCGAGUUGUAAUCUCGAGAAGUAUUUUCCGCGCCGGACCGCAUACAAGUCUGUUGGAAUACAGCGUCAUAGUGGUGAGAACCCCGUAACUGAUGCGGAUGCCCGGUGCUUUGUGAUAUACUUUCGAAGAGUCGAGUUGUUUGGGAAUGCAGCUCAAAUUGGGUGGUAAAUUCCAUCUAAAGCUAAAUAUUGGAGCAAGACCGAUAGCGAACAAGUACCGUGAGGGAAAGAUGAAAAGCACUUUGGAAAGAGAGUUAACAGUACGUGAAAUUGUUGGAAGGGAAACGCUUGAAGUCAGACUUGCUAUUCGGAGUUCAGCCGCAAGGUGUAUUCUUCGAUUUGCAGGCCAGCAUCAGUUUUUGGGGGUGGAAAAUCGUGGUUUGAAGGUAGCAGUUUCGGCUGUGUUAUAGCUUUCCACUGGAUUCAUCUUCGGGGACUGAGGAACGCAGUACGCUUUUUGCAAGGCUCUCGAGCUUUUCGUACUUAGGAUGCUGGUGGAAUGGCU